UUUGGAAGUAAAAAGUCGUAACAAGGUCUCCGUAGGUGAACCUGCGGAGGGAUCAUUACAAGUGACCCCGGUUUUACCACCGGGAUGUUCAUAACCCUUUGUUGUCUGACUCUGUUGCCUCCGGGGCGACCCUGCCUUCGGGCGGGGGCUCCGGGUGGACACUUCAAACUCUUGCGUAACUUUGCAGUCUGAGUAAAUUAAUUAAUAAAUUAAAACUUUUAACAACGGAUCUCUUGGUUCUGGCAUCGAUGAAGAACGCAGCGAAAUGCGAUAAGUAAUGUGAAUUGCAGAAUUCAGUGAAUCAUCGAAUCUUUGAACGCACAUUGCGCCCCCUGGUAUUCCGGGGGGCAUGCCUGUUCGAGCGUCAUUUCACCACUCAAGCCUCGCUUGGUAUUGGGCAACGCGGUCCGCCGCGUGCCUCAAAUCGACCGGCUGGGUCUUCUGUCCCCUAAGCGUUGUGGAAACUAUUCGCUAAAGGGUGUUCGGGAGGCUACGCCGUAAAACAACCCCAUUUCUAAGGUGACCUCGGAUCAGGACGACCAG
rnacentral:rRNA from 1 species